CCUGACUGAAGAGAGAGACAGGCUUCAGAAUUUGCUUUGUGAAAGAACAUGUUGUUCAGAUGGAUGGAAGAAGUUUGAAUGCAGUUGUUACUUCAUCUCUACUGAGAAGAAAACCUGGGAGAAGAGCAGACAGGACUGUCUGGAGAGAGGAACAGACCUGGUGAUCAUAAACAGCAAAGAGGAACAGGAGUUUCUCUUCAACUUCAAGAAGAGAGUCUGGAUUGGUCUGACUGACAGAGAGACAGAGGAGACCUGGAAAUGGGUGGAUGGAACACCACUGACCACAGAGUACUGGUAUGACCCACAGCCUGAUAAUGCAGGUUCUACUGAUGGGGAGGACUGUGCUGAGAUACGUAAAGAUCAGAGUCCUCUAAAGGCAUGGAAUGACUUGUCAUGUGGCAGCAAACUGAACUGGAUUUGUGAGAAAGUGGUUUAACAUCACCAUACUGUAACACAUUCAUUCAUUCUCUCUCUCACACACUCUUUCUCUCUCUCUCUCUUUCUCUCUCUCUCUCUCUCACUCUUUAUUUCUCUCUCUCUCACACUCACUUCCAUUCUCUAGUGCAUAUCUUCCUGGUAUGAUCGUGUCCUGUCCAUCGUCACAAAUAGCAAGUGCCAGGCUGCACACACUGGACAGCUCUCAUAGAGAGAUAGUGGUAGACUAUGGAGAUGUCUGUGUCCACUGUUUAUAUCAAUGAAGAUGUUAGAGGAAUACAGUGUGUUUUAGGGGACCAGUUUCACAAUAGAGCCCAUCUAUUUUAAUGAAUAUACUAUAUAUUUGAACUACUUUUACUUAUGCUUCACUAUAAUCUUAAAGAAAAUAGUGUACGUUUAUACCAUAUAUUUUCCAUGACACCCAGAAGUGGUCAUUACAUUUUGAAUGCUUAGCAGGACAGGAAAAUUGUCAAA